CUCUCACCCAGGAUCACUUCCGAAACCAGUUGGCCUUCAGCCCCUGCCUCGGCCAGAGGUUUCAUUUUUAACUGAAUAUUUACGAAAGCUGAAAGCGUGCGAGGGGGGUGGGGUGGAAAUAGCGGCUGCUUCUUUUCCAAGGAUUUAUUUAAUGGGGAUGUGUUCAAGGCAAGACCGAAUUCAGAAGGAUAUCGACGUCGUGAUCCAGAAGUCCAGAGCUGAGGACUGCCUGUUUGCAGAUACUGUACAGGACAACCUGCUUUUCAUAUUCUCUGUGAAUUUCAAAGACGACUGGGAUUUUCUUCCUCCUCUACCACCCUGAACAGCAAGACCAAUACAUCCUGUAUUUCCUCCUCUUCAGCCUACUUGUGAAGACAAGGAUGAAGACCUCCAUGAUGAGCCAUCUCCACUUAAUGACUGUCUCACAUUGGCCGGCAACUUGUUCCAGGUAUAGUUGUGCCGGAUGUGGAACUCCACAUCUAUGUUCAUGAUGCGGCGGCCAGGGCCGGCGGCGGGGGCCACGACCGCGACCCACACUAGGCCUCCCGCCUGCCCGCCCGCAGCCCGUCAGCGGAGCGCUGCGGGAGGCCCGGCGCCUCGCAAUGCGGGAGGCCCGGCGCCUCGCAAUGCAGAAGGCCCAGGCUGCCUCUUGGCCUGGGCUCCCUACAGUUGAGUGUGGCCCAGGCCAACCGAACACUAGAGCAGCAGCGAUGGAAGGCUGGGUCGCCUGAGCAGCUCGGAAGGCCCUUUUUAACUUUAGACGUUCUGUUUGAUGAAGAGAUACAUAGGUUAUCAACUUAGGCCAGGUUCAAAAGGCCCU
rnacentral:lncRNA from 1 species